GACGUAGGGCGCGAGCGUUGUCCGGAUUUAUUGGGCGUAAAGAGCUCGUAGGCGGCUUGUUGCGUCAGCUGUGAAAACCCGCAGCUCAACUGUGGGCUUGCAGCUGAUACGGGCAGGCUUGAGUUCGGUAGGGGAGACUGGAAUUCCUGGUGUAGCGGUGAAAUGCGCAGAUAUCGAGAGGAACACCUGCGGCGAAGGCGGGUUGCUGGGCUGACACUGACGCUGAAGUGCGAAAGCUAGGGGAGCGAACGGG
rnacentral:rRNA from 1 species